UACGGGGGAGGCAAGACGUUGUUCGGUAGUUUACUUGGGCGGUAAAGGGACGGCGUAGGCGGCGCAACAAGUCACUUGUGAAAUACUCCGGGCGUUAACUCGGAGCGGCCAAGUGAUACUGUCGUGCUAGAGUGCGGAAGGGGCAACUGGAAUUCUCGGUGUAGCGGUGAAAUGCGUAGAUAUCGAGAGGAACACCUGCGGCGAAGGCGGGUUUGCUGGGCCGACACUGACGCUGAGGCGCG
rnacentral:rRNA from 1 species